rnacentral:lncRNA from 1 species
UUUUUUAUUUAAAUUACCCAAGUAAAAUUGGAUGUUCACUAAAUGAGUAUCAAUUUUUAGGCCAUUGGACAAUAAUAUCUGGGUUUUCAGAAUAUUGAUUAAUGCCAAGAAGGUUUUUGUUGUUGACUUCCCAAUUACAAUCAGUUGUACAUCUACGGCGAAAAUCCCUUGCAUCUUGGUAAAGGACAUAUAGAAUUGAUGCAUCUCUCCAUGUUAUUUUGCAAAACAAGAAUGUUGAGCCAGGUGCAUUGUCACGAUGGAGUUUAAAUCGUUCAUAAUAAUUCGGAUUCACCACUUGAGUUCCCAAGUCUUUGUUAUUGGUUUUGCAAUGAAUUGUGAAACUUAAACCUUGCUUUAAAUUAUUUGAUACUCGAACUAUAGUCACAUCUCCCCCAUCAGCUACAACAGAAGAAAGUUCCCAAAAUGCAAUGAAUAUUGCUAGUGAGAAAACUUGCUUCAUCGAAAGAAUCAUCCUUUAAACUAUACUCAAGAAUUGAAGAAAUUGCUAAAACCUACUUGGAGAAGUGACAAGGAAAAAAAAAUAGAGAAACCCAGGAGAAGAAAGAGAGAAGAAAUUUCAAUAUGGACAAGGGAAGGCUAAUAGCCUUUUUAUAGUUCAAAAUGUAAAUUUAUUUUUAGAUAUAAGAAAAAAACGUAUCACACUAAAUAAGAAAAUGAAUUAAUGACAUUAAAAUAGAGAAAAAAACGUAUCACACUAAAUAAGAAAAAAACGAAUCACACUAAUUAAUUACAUAAAUUGUUUUUUUCUUCAUAAAUUAGCUAGCUUUUUUAUUCAUUAAUUGCAAUUAAUUUUUUAAAUUUUGAAAUGAUGCUUUUUAAAUGUGUUACAUUUAUUGCAACAAGAUAAGCGACAACAUAAUUGUAUCUUAAAAAAUAAAAUUGAACCCUUAAGGGUUUGUCAUUUCACUUUAAUUCUUUUAUUUUUGAAGGCAAAGUAACUCUAUUGUAUUUAUUGGCACCAUUUCAAACACCAUUUUAAUGUAUUUAAAAAAGUUUAUAACAUAAAUAUUAGAUAUAUAUACUUAAAAAUGAUAUUAACUUUUAUAAUUUUGCAAAUUUUUUUAUAACAUACAACACUACAAUUUUUUUCAUUUCGUCAUACUUAUUUCGUCAAUGAAGAUGGCGAAAUCCACAAAGCAACACCACCUAUUUCGUCAAUGAAAAUGAUGAAAUCCACAAAACACACCUAUUUCGUCAAUGCCGAUGACAAAAUUCACUCACACAAAACCGAUCCCUUCGCAAAAUAUUUUAAAACAGACCCUGAUUGAGAAUUAAUUUCUAAAAGAAACCUUGGGCCCCGAAGGCAAUUUGCCUCCAAACUAACCCGCAUACACCCCUAAUGGUGGGUUAUAGUCUCCCCUAAUCAUUUUAACACCCUAAAAUAGGUAAUAAUAAUAAGAUAAAUAGAAUAACAAAAAAUAAGCAAAAUAUAUAAAUAAACAUAAAAAGAUAAACUCAUAUUGAAAGAAGCACACAAAAUUUAACACAACACUUUUUUAUUUAAAUUAUCCAAGUAAAAUUGGAUGUUCACUAAAUGGGUAUCAAUUUUUAGGCCAUGGGACAAUAAUAUCUGGUUUUAGAGUAUAUUGAUUAGUGCCAAGAAGGUUUUCGUUGUUGACUUCCCAAUUACAAUCAGUUGUACAUCUACGGCGAAAAUCCCUUGCAUCUUGGUAAAGGACAUAUAGAAUUGAUGCAUCUCUCCAUGUUAUUUUGCAAAACAAGAAUGUUAAGCCAGGUGCAUUGUCACGAUGGAGUUCAAAUCGUUCAUAGUAAUUUUGAUUCACCACUUGAGUUCCCAAGUCUUUGUUAUUGGUUUUGCAAUGAAUUGUGAAACUUAAACCUUGGUUUAAAUUAUUUGAUACUCGAACUAUAGUCACAUCUCCCCCAUCAGCUACAACAGAAGAAAGUUCCCAAAAUGCAAUGAAUAUUGCUAGUGAGAAAACUUGCUUCAUCGAAAGAAUCAUCCUUUAAACAAUACUAAGGAAUAGAAGAAAUUGCUAGAAUCUACUUGCAAGGAAAGAAAAAUAUAUAGAGAAACCCAGGAGAAGAAAUUUCAAUGUGGACAAGGGAAGGUUGAUAGCCUU